rnacentral:rRNA from 1 species
GAUGAACGCUGGCGGCGUGCCUAAUACAUGCGAGUCGAGCGAACAGACGAGGAGCUUGCUCCUCUGACGUUAGCGGCGGACGGGUGAGUAACACGUGGAUAACCUACCUAUAAGACUGGGAUAACUUCGGGAAACCGGAGCUAAUACCGGAUAAUAUAUUGAACCGCAUGGUUCAAUAGUGAAAGACGGUUUUGCUGUCACUUAUAGAUGGAUCCGCGCCGCAUUAGCUAGUUGGUAAGGUAACGGCUUACCAAGGCGACGAUGCGUAGCCGACCUGAGAGGGUGAUCGGCCACACUGGAACUGAGACACGGUCCAGACUCCUACGGGAGGCAGCAGUAGGGAAUCUUCCGCAAUGGGCGAAAGCCUGACGGAGCAACGCCGCGUGAGUGAUGAAGGUCUUUGGAUCGUAAAACUCUGUUAUUAGGGAAGAACAAAUGUGUAAGUAACUAUGCACGUCUUGACGGUACCUAAUCAGAAAGCCACGGCUAACUACGUG